rnacentral:tmRNA from 1 species
GGGGGUGUCCCGGUUUCGAUUGGUACGGUUCGGGGCGCUGGUUGCAGGUGGAGCGCCGAUCUCCUGAUUCGGCAACGUUAUAACUGCCAAAGCUAAAGUCGCUGACGACAGUUUUGAUUACGCACUCGCUGCGUAACCAACGCGGAUCCGUUCCCACGCCUUGAGGAACGGUCAUCCGUGUUGCAAUCAAGGCUGGUCUUGCUUCGCGUCCAGACGGAGCAGGGCGAGAUGUUCUGGAAUACGGCAACACCGUGCGCCGCGCCGCCACGUGUCGCCCGACACUCUAAUGCGCGGCUAAACCUGUAGACGCUUGCGUGUCGCGUGUCAGGACACGGGUUCGACUCCCGUCACCUCCAAUU